AUUAGAGGAAAGAUUUGACUGAUUGCAACCUCCAUAAAAAAUGCUAAAG
rnacentral:ncRNA from 1 species